rnacentral:rRNA from 1 species
AGUGAACGCUGGCGGUAGGCCUAGCACAUGCAAGUCGAACGGCAGCACAGUAAGAGCUUGCUCUUACGGGUGGCGAGUGGCGGACGGGUGAGGAAUACAUCGGAAUCUACUUUUUCGUGGGGGAUAACGUAGGGAAACUUACGCUAAUACCGCAUACGACCUACGGGUGAAAGCAGGGGAUCUUCGGACCUUGCGCGAUUGAAUGAGCCGAUGUCGGAUUAGCUAGUUGGCGGGGUAAAGGCCCACCAAGGCGACGAUCCGUAGCUGGUCUGAGAGGAUGAUCAGCCACACUGGAACUGAGACACGGUCCAGACUCCUGCGGGAGGCAGCAGUGGGGAAUAUGGGACAAUGGGCGCAAGCCUGAUCCAGCCAUACCGCGUGGGUGAAGAAGGCCUUCGGGUUGUAAAGCCCUUUUGUUGGGAAAGAAAAGCAGCAGGUUAAUACCCCGCUGUUCUGACGGUACCCAAAGAAUAAGCACCGGCUAACUUCGUG